GACGAACGCUGGCGGCGUGCCUAAUACAUGCAAGUCGAACGCAGUGGGGACGGGUGAGUAACACGUGGGUAACCUCCCAUCAGAGGGGAUAACACUUGGAAACAGGUGCUAAACCGAUAUUGAUGGAUGGACCCGCGUUGCAUUCGCUAGUUGGUGAGGGAACGGCUCACCAAGGCCACGAUGCAUAGCAGACCUGGUGGGGUGAUCGGCCACACUGGGACUGAGACACGGCCCAGACUCCGACGGGAGGCAGCAGUAGGGAAUGGUGGACAAUGGGCGAAGGCCUGAUGCAGGCAUGCGGCGUGUGUGAAGAAGGUCUACGGAUUGUAAGACUUUAAGUUGGGAGGAGCGUUACAAUCAGAAUAAGCACCGGCUAACUUCGUGCCAGCAGCCGCGGUAAUUC
rnacentral:rRNA from 1 species